AUUGAACGCUGGCGGCAUGCCUAACACAUGCAAGUCGAGCGAGCGGCGGACGGGUGAGUAAUGUAUGGGGACUGCCCGAUAGAGGUGGAUAACUACUGGAAACGGUAGCUAAUACCGCAUACUAUCGGAUAACCCAUAUGGGAUUAGCUAGUAGGUGAGGUACUGGCGCACCUAGGCGACGAUCCCUAGCUGGUCUGAAAGGAUGAGCAGCCACACUGGGACUGUGACACGGCCCAGACGCCUACGGAGGCAGCAGUGGGGGAUAUUGCACAAUGGGCGCAAGCCUGAUGCAGCCAUGCCUCGUGUAUGAAGAAGGCCAUAGGGUUGUAAAGUACUUUCAGUCGGGAGGCGUUACCGACAGAAGAAGCACCGGCUAACUCCGUGCCAGCAGCCGCGGUAAUAC
rnacentral:rRNA from 1 species